rnacentral:lncRNA from 1 species
GAAACCGAGAAACACCGAUUUAGAGCAUCGUCACUCGCGUGAAUUUGCGGAUUGAUUGAUUAUUGGAUAAAUCAUUGAGGGAAAAUGAUGGCGAAUAAUAAGUUCAUUGUCGUGUGCACAGUUUCUCUGACUGUUUUGUUUAGUAUAGCUACGGUAUCUGCCUUCGUUGAAGAGCUCGAUGACACGUUUAAAGACACAAGAAAGCCUGAUGAGAUAUGGCUGAUAGGAGUAAGUAUGUAUGGGAUUUUAUAAGAAAG